GUGUCAGCCGCCGCGGUAAUACGGGGGGAGCAAGCGUUGUUCGGAUUUACUGGGCGUAAAGGGCGCGUAGGCGGCCACUGCAAGUCAAUUGUGAAAUCUCCAGGCUUAACUCGGAAAGGUCAACUGAUACUGCAGGGCUAGAGUGCGGAAGGGGCAACUGGAAUUCUCGGUGUAGCGGUGAAAUGCGUAGAUAUCGAGAGGAACACCUGCGGCGAAGGCGGGUUGCUGGGCCGACACUGACGCUGAAGUGCGAAAGCUAGGGGAGCGAACGGGAUUAGAUACCCCCGUAGUCC
rnacentral:rRNA from 1 species